rnacentral:misc_RNA from 1 species
GAUGAAGAACGUAGCGAAAUGCGAUAAGUAAUGUGAAUUGCAAAAUUCAGUGAAUCAUCGAAUCUUUGAACGCACCUUGCGCCCUUUGGCCAUUCCGAAGGGCAUGCCUGUUUGAGUAUCAUGAACACCUCAACUCUUUAUGGUUUUCCAUGAUGAGCUUGGACUCUGGGGGUUUUGCUGGCUCACAGUCGGCUCCUCUAAAAUAAAUCAGCUUACCAGUGUUUGGUGGGUAUCAUGGGUGUGAUAACUAUCUACGCUUGUGGUUUUUCCACCAGGUAACCUUCAGCAGUGGAGGUUCGCUGGAGCUCAUAGACGUCUCUCCUCAGUGAGGACAGCCCUUUGAACGUUUGAUCUCAAAUCAGGUAGGACUACCCGCUGAACUUAAGCAUAUCAAUAAGCGGAGGA